AUUGAACGCUGGCGGCAGGCCUAACACAUGCAAGUCGAGCGGAUGAAGAGAGCUUGCUCUCUGAUUCAGCGGCGGACGGGUGAGUAAUGCCUAGGAAUCUGCCUAUUAGUGGGGGACAACGUUUCGAAAGGAACGCUAAUACCGCAUACGUCCUACGGGAGAAAGCAGGGGACCUUCGGGCCUUGCGCUAAUAGAUGAGCCUAGGUCGGAUUAGCUAGUUGGUGAGGUAAAGGCUCACCAAGGCGACGAUCCGUAACUGGUCUGAGAGGAUGAUCAG
rnacentral:rRNA from 1 species